rnacentral:rRNA from 1 species
AGUGAACGCUGGCGGUAGGCCUAACACAUGCAAGUCGAACGGCAGCACAGUAAGAGCUUGCUCUUACGGGUGGCGAGUGGCGGACGGGUGAGGAAUACAUCGGAAUCUACUUUUUCGUGGGGGAUAACGGAGGGAAACUUACGCUAAUACCGCAUACGACCUACGGGUGAAAGCAGGGGAUCUUCGGACCUUGCGCGAUUGAAUGAGACGAUGUCGGAUUAGCUAGUUGGCGGGGUAAAGGCCCACCAAGGCGACGAUCCGUAGCUGGUCUGAGAGGAUGAUCAGCCACACUGGAACUGAGACACGGUCCAGACUCCUACGGGAGGCAGCAGUGGGGAAUAUUGGACAAUGGGCGCAAGCCUGAUCCAGCCAUACCGCGUGGGUGAAGAAGGCCUUCGGGUUGUAAAGCCCUUUUGUUGGGAAAGAAAAGCAGCAGGUUAAUACCCCGCUGUUCUGACGGUACCCAAAGAAUAAGCACCGGCUAACUUCGUG